GUGCUUGCUUCAGCAGUAUAUAUACUAAAAUUAGAAUGGUACAAAGAAGAUUAGCAUGGUCCCUGCACAAGGAUGACAUGCAAAUUUGUAAAACGUUCCAUAUUUUA
rnacentral:snRNA from 1 species